AUUGAACGCUGGCGGCAUGCCUUACACAUGCAAGUCGAACGGCAGCACGGGUGCUUGCACCUGUUGGCGAGUGGCGAACGGGUGAGUAAUACAUCGGAACAUGUCCUGUAGUGGGGGAUAGCCCGGCGAAAGCCGGAUUAAUACCGCAUACGAUCUACGGAUGACAGCGGGGGACCUUCGGGCCUCGCGCUAUAGGGUUGGCCGAUGGCUGAUUAGCUAGUUGGUGGGGUAAAGGCCUACCAAGGCGACGAUCAGUAGCUGGUCUGAGAGGACGACCAGCCACACGGGGACUGGGACACGGCCCAGACUCCUACGGGAGGCAGCAGUGGGGAAUUUUGGCCAACGGUCGAAAGCCUGAUCCAGCAAUGCCGCGUGUGUGAAGAAGGCCUUCGGGUUGUAAAGCACUUUUGUCCGGAAAGAAAUCCUUGGCCCUAAUACGGUCGGGGGAUGACGGUACCGGAAGAAUAAGCACCGGCUAACUACGUG
rnacentral:rRNA from 1 species